rnacentral:rRNA from 1 species
AUUGAACGCUGGCGGCAGGCCUAACACAUGCAAGUCGAGCGAGCGGCGGAAGGGUGAGUAAUGUCUGGGAAACUGCCUGAGGGAGGGGGAUAACAACUGGAAACGGUAGCUAAUACCGCAUACCAUCAAAGGUGACCAGGUGGUAUUAGAGAGUAGGUGGGGUAACGGCGACCCUAGGCGACGAUCCCUAGCUGGUCUGCGAGGAGGACCAGCCACACUGGAAAUGAGACACGGUCCAGACUCCUACGGGAGGGAGCAGUUGGGAAUAUUGCACAAUGGGCUCAAGCCUGAUGCAGCCAUGCCGCGUGUGUGAAGAAGGCCUUCGGGUUGUAAAGCACUUUCAGCGGGGAGGCGUUACCCGCAGAAGAAGCACCGGCUAACUCCGUGCCAGCCGCCGCGGUAAUAC